rnacentral:rRNA from 1 species
GAUGAACGCUAGCGGCAGGCUUAAUACAUGCAAGUCGAACGGUAACAGGUGUAGCAAUACAUGCUGACGAGUGGCAGACGGGUGAGGAACACGUACGCAAUCUCCCUCUUUCUGGUGAAUAGCCCUGAGAAAUUAGGAUUAAUACACCAUAGUAUUACGAAACGGCAUCGUUUUGUAAUUAAAACUCCGGUGGAAAGAGAUGAGCGUGCGCCUGAUUAGAUAGUUGGUGAGGUAACGGCUCACCAAGUCAACGAUCAGUAACUGGUGUGAGAGCACGACCAGUCACACGGGCACUGAGAUACGGGCCCGACUCCUACGGGAGGCAGCAGUAAGGAAUAUUGGUCAAUGGAGGCAACUCUGAACCAGCCAUGCCGCGUGAAGGAUGAAGGCCCUCUGGGUUGUAAACUUCUUUUAUCUGGGAAGAAAUCCACUGUUUCUACGGUGGUUGACGGUACCAGAGGAAUAAGCACCGGCUAACUCCGUGCCAGCAGCCGCGGUAAUACGGAGGGUGCAAGCGUUAUCCGGAUUUACUGGGUUUAAAGAGUGCGUAGGCGGGUUUUUAAGUCAGCGGUGAAAGCUUCGAGCUUAACUCGGAAAUUGCCGUUGAUACUAUUU